AUGCUGGAGAACUGCUCUUCCUACUCGAUAGAUGCCAAAAGGGUGGAGAAAAAAAAAGUAAAAAAAAAAACGCCUCGAAAGUGUAUCCAUCACAAGGACUUUUCAACAAUUAAUGCCUCGCAAUCUAAUCGAUGCAAGCAAAGCAAAGGCAUGGCGCCGGCGGCCGGUCGCGGGCGAGGACGAGGACGGGCCCGGGGACGCGGCCGCGGCCGCGGGCGAGGACGCGCGGCCAAGACCCCGCCUCCAGCCGCAGAACCCGCGCCGGAGGAGGCCCCCGACGCCGCCCACCACCAAGAGCAAGAGCAGGAGCAGGACAAGGACAAGGGGCAGGAAGAGCAGGAGCAGCUCACCCACACCCAAGAUGCCUCUGCCUCUGCUUUUGCCGGGCGGGAGACGAUUGAGAUCUCCGACUCGCCGGACGCAUCCCCUCAGCAUCAACAACAAGGAGGCGCCUCCUCCUCGCCACACAUAUAUACUACUAGCUCAACCCAUCAGAUCAAGGAGGAGCCAAGCUCAAUCACAGCCGUCCACCACAAACCCCAUGAGCCCUCUCCCUCUGCUGCCACCAAUAUUGACGAGCAGCAGGAGAAAAUGGAGGUGGAGGCUGGAGAGCCUCAUGAUAUGUUCUUGUCCGUACAGGAAGAAGAAGCAGCAGCCCCUCCACAAGAAGAACAAGAGGCAGACAAGCAAACGCUACAGAACAAGGCAGCACAGGUGAUAGAGCCGGAGGGUGGAAAACCCGAUGAUGAUGAUGAUGAUGAUGAUGAUGAUGAUGAUGAUGAUGAUGAUCUAGUCGUAAAGGGUGAUGUUGCUGCAACUGAUGAUGCACAAAAUAAGCAAGACAGUCAAGCUCACCAACUCCACCAGGAGGAACAAAUGCUUGCUGCAACUCAUGAUGAUGCAGAAAAUAAGCAAGGCACCCAAGCUCACCCACUCCACCAGGGAGAAAUGGAUGCUGAGCGGGAAGAGGAGGAGGAGGAGGAUCCCGAAGAGGUCAUUUUCGAGGACUCUGUCUCUGUGGGUGACGGGCAGGCCGCAACUGAGGACAAACAAGGAGAUGACCCUGCUGCUAGGGCCACGGAGGACGACGACGGGCAGGCUGCAGCUGAGAGCAAACAGGAAGAGCACCGUGCUAGGGCGAUGGAGGAGGACGUGCAGGCUGCAGGUGAGAUCAAACAGCAAGAGGACGAGCGCAAGGUUAUGUCAGACAUGGCCAAGAACAGGCAGCGCAAAAAGGAGCUAGAGAUCUUUGUGGGAGGGCUGGACCGUGAAGCCGUCGAGGAGGAUAUCAGGAAGGUGUUUGCGCAGGUCGGUGAUGUUGUGGAGGUCCGUCUCCACAAGGAUCCCUCCACCAACAAGAACAAGGGGUUUGCGUUCGUCAGGUUUGCAAACAAACAGCAGGUGGCUCGGGCGCUUGCUGAGGUGAAGAAUCCUAUGAUACAUGGCAAACGUUGUGGUGUUGCUGCUAGCGAGGACAACGAUACACUCUUCUUGGGCAAUAUUUGCAAUACAUGGACAAAGGAAGCUAUUAAGAAGAGGCUGCUUGACUAUGGGGUAGAAGGAGUUCAAAGUUUAACUCUUGUUCCUGAUACUCAAAACGAAGGCCAGAGCCGUGGUUUUGCAUUUCUCGAGUUCUCUUGCCACGCGGAUGCGAUGCUUGCAUUCAAAAGGCUGCAGCAACCAGAUGCUCUAUUUGGUCACCCUGAGAGAACUGCAAAAGUUGCCUUUGCAGAGCCAAUAAAAGAAGCAGAUGCAGAAGUUAUGGCUCAGGUCAAAUCAGUUUUUAUUGAUGGACUUCCACCAUACUGGGAUGAAGAACGUGUUAAAAACCGAUUCAGAGCUUAUGGUGUGAUAGAACGAGUUGUGCUUGCUCGCAAUAUGUCUAGUGCUAAAAGAAACGAUUUUGGAUUUGUCAACUUCUCAACCCAUGAGGAGGCUCUUGCUUGUAUUGAAGCCACCAACAACACCGAGCUGGGUGAUGAUGGAAAAGCAAAGCUAAAAGUAAGGGUUAGACUUUCAAACCCUUUACCUAAAAGUCAGGCUGUGAAAGGUGAAAUGAGUGGCGGGUUUCGAAUUGGACAUCCUGGAUCUGGUUUUAACAGGCCUGGUAGAGGUUUUAAUAGGGACAGAGCUGCCCCUCGCCGGGAAGGUUUCCAUGGUGAUAGGGGUUUCAAUAAUCACACUCCUGGUCGUGGUGCGAGAUUUAAUUCUGCAUACAGUAACAACAGUUUUGAAGCUUCGCCCUCUGAUUUCCGAGCCAGGCAGGCUCCUCCUGCCUUUCGAGGGGGGAGAUGGGAACCUUCCUCAGGAAGGCAUGAUUUCUUUGAUAGAGGGCAGGGGAGAGGGUAUCAUCAUCCACCUAGAGGGCCAACAUUUGAGCCUGAGGGUGAUUUUGGUAGACCCUUUGGUGAAAACCCAUAUCUCUAUGAAGAUGUUCGGCAUAGUGCUAAGAGGCCAUAUUCUCACAUGGAACCCGGCCCUCCUGGAUACUUUGAGCAUGGUCCUCCUCGUGUGCGCCCUCGCUUUGACCAUUACGAGCAGCCACCAUUUCCUGGAGGGAACCGUUUUGGUCAUUAUGACCAGCCACCAUUUCCUGGAGGUGACCGCCACAGAGACUCUUUUGGGACGAGGGGUGGUUAUUCACGUGAUCACUAUGGCCCUGGUUCUGGUCCUGGUCAUGCCCCGCCCCCCGCCCAUGCCCAUGCCCCGCCCCCUGCCCAUGCCCAUGCCCAUGCCCCAGCUCAAUAUGGUAGGGGUGCAUUCCGACCACACCAAAGAGGCGGGCAUUCUGGAGGCGGUUAUUACCACCACUAG
rnacentral:rRNA from 1 species